rnacentral:rRNA from 1 species
GACGAACGCUGGCGGCGUGCCUAAUACAUGCAAGUCGAACGCAUUUUCUUUCACCGUAGCUUGCUACACCGAAAGAAAAUGAGUGGCGAACGGGUGAGUAACACGUGGGUAACCUGCCCAUCAGCGGGGGAUAACACUUGGAAACAGGUGCUAAUACCGCAUAAUUCCAUUUACCGCAUGGUAGAUGGAUGAAAGGCGCUUUUGCGUCACUGAUGGAUGGACCCGCGGUGCAUUAGCUAGUUGGUGGGGUAACGGCCUACCAAGGCUGCGAUGCAUAGCCGACCUGAGAGGGCGAUCGGCCACACUGGGACUGAGACACGGCCCAGACUCCUACGGGAGGCAGCAGUAGGGAAUCUUCGGCAAUGGACACAAGUCUGACCGAGCAACGCCGCGUGAGUGAAGAAGGUUUUCGGAUCGUAAAACUCUGUUGUUAGAGAAGAACAAGGAUGAGAGUGGAAAGUUCAUCCCUUGACGGUAUCUAACCAGAAAGCCACGGCUAACUACGU